rnacentral:rRNA from 1 species
UACAGAGGGUGCAAGCGUUAAUCGGAAUUACUGGGCGUAAAGGGCGCGUAGGCUGUGCUGUAAGUCAGGCGUGAAAGCCCCGGGCUCAACCUGGGAAUUGCGCGUGAUACUGCGGCGCUGGAAGGUGGGAGAGGAUGGCGGAAUUCCCAGUGUAGAGGUGAAAUUCGUAGAUAUUGGGAAGACACCGGUGGCGAAGGCGCAUC